rnacentral:rRNA from 1 species
GGUGGAUUAGUGGCGAACGGGUGAGUAACACGUGGGCAAUCUGCCCUUCACUCUGGGACAAGCCCUGGAAACGGGGUCUAAUACCGGAUACGACCCGGGAAGGCAUCUUCUCGGGUGGAAAGCUCCGGCGGUGAAGGAUGAGCCCGCGGCCUAUCAGCUUGUUGGUGGGGUAACGGCCCACCAAGGCGACGACGGGUAGCCGGCCUGAGAGGGCGACCGGCCACACUGGGACUGAGACACGGCCCAGACUCCUACGGGAGGCAGCAGUGGGGAAUAUUGCACAAUGGGCGCAAGCCUGAUGCAGCGACGCCGCGUGAGGGAUGACGGCCUUCGGGUUGUAAACCUCUUUCAGCAGGGAAGAAGCGCAAGUGACGGUACCUGCAGAAGAAGCGCCGGCUAACUACGUGCCAGCAGCCGCGGUAAUACGUA